rnacentral:rRNA from 1 species
GAUGAACGCUGGCGGCGUGCCUAAUACAUGCAAGUCGAGCGAACAGACGAGGAGCUUACUCCUCUGACGUUAGCGGCGGACGGGUGAGUAACACGUGGAUAACCUACCUAUAAGACUGGGAUAACUUCGGGAAACCGGAGCUAAUACCGGAUAACAUGUUGAACCGCAUGGUUCAACAGUGAAAGACGGUCUUGCUGUCACUUAUAGAUGGAUCCGCGUCGCAUUAGCUAGUUGGUAAGGUAACGGCUUACCAAGGCAACGAUGCGUAGCCGACCUGAGAGGGUGAUCGGCCACACUGGAACUGAGACACGGUCCAGACUCCUACGGGAGGCAGCAGUAGGGAAUCUUCCGCAAUGGGCGAAAGCCUGACGGAGCAACGCCGCGUGAGUGAAGAAGGUCUUCGGAUCGUAAAACUCUGUUAUUAGGGAAGAACAAAUGUGUAAGUAACUAUGCACGUCUUGACGGUACCUAAUCAGAAAGCCACGGCUAACUACGUGCCAGCAGCCGCGGUAAUACGUAGGCGGCAAGCGUUAUCCGGAAUUAUUGGGCGUAAAGCGCGCGUAGGCGGUUUUUUAAGUCUGAUGUGAAAGCCCACGGCUCAACCGUGGAGGGUCAUUGGAAACUGGAAAACUUGAGUGCAGAAGAGGAAAGUGGAAUUCCAUGUGUAGCGGUGAAAUGCGCAGAGAUAUGGAGGAACACCAGUGGCGAAGGCGACUUUCUGGUCUGUAACUGACGCUGAUGUGCGAAAGCGUGGGGAUCAAACAGGAUUAGAUACCCUGGUAGUCCACGCCGUAAACGAUGAGUGCUAAGUGUUAGGGGGUUUCCGCCCCUUAGUGCUGCAGCUAACGCAUUAAGCACUCCGCCUGGGGAGUACGACCGCAAGGUUGAAACUCAAAGGAAUUGACGGGGACCCGCACAAGCGGUGGAGCAUGUGGUUUAAUUCGAAGCAACGCGAAGAACCUUACCAAAUCUUGACAUCCUCUGACCCCUCUAGAGAUAGAGUUUUCCCCUUCGGGGGACAGAGUGACAGGUGGUGCAUGGUUGUCGUCAGCUCGUGUCGUGAGAUGUUGGGUUAAGUCCCGCAACGAGCGCAACCCUUAAGCUUAGUUGCCAUCAUUAAGUUGGGCACUCUAAGUUGACUGCCGGUGACAAACCGGAGGAAGGUGGGGAUGACGUCAAAUCAUCAUGCCCCUUAUGAUUUGGGCUACACACGUGCUACAAUGGACAAUACAAAGGGUAGCGAAACCGCGAGGUCAAGCAAAUCCCAUAAAGUUGUUCUCAGUUCGGAUUGUAGUCUGCAACUCGACUACAUGAAGCUGGAAUCGCUAGUAAUCGUAGAUCAGCAUGCUACGGUGAAUACGUUCCCGGGUCU